GAGUACUGAGACGAGCAACUUUGUACUUACCCUUUCGGAGUAGGGAACGUGAUUAAACGUCCGCGAGUUCGAAACUUUUGUAAGUCACUGCACGGCCGCUGCUUAUGGUGGAAAUGUAAUAGAUAUAAGUACAGAGCGCGUGAGCGAACUAAAAACGCGAUAUAGGGGUAAAGAGAGAGACCGUUCCGUCCUUCUCUAAUGCCCGCGUACUUGUACCGGAAAUGUGUAACAACGGUAAACGAGCGCCACAGGAUUCGACUAUUCCAUCAUUAUAUUCGCACCCUGCUUACGUGUGAACUAACAUUGCCAUGACAACAAAUCGUUCGUCUCCUGUUUGAUGCUCAGUUUUCAACGGAGUUGAAGGGAAACUUUAUAAGAGAAAGGAAGUGACGGAUUGUCUCAAAGUAAUAAACGAAAAUUCUCGUAACUAUCGAAAAACGAUAGUCAAUACAAGGAUAUCAUUAUCACAUUUAAAACUAUUACAAUGAACGGUGAUUUAUCGCUGCAAGGUACCACAAAUAAGAUAUCUCAUAAUUUGCGAAAAGAGGUAAGGAAUAUUCUAGAUUUUAAGACUUUGGAACUUCCAUGACAGUCAUUUGUUGUUCAUUUUUUGUGAUAUUUUACACACGCACAUAGUAUCUAUGAUCUUUUCUUUCGAUAAUUCUUAUAAUUAUUGUCAAUAAUUAAUUAUUUAUAACCAUUUACGCUGUAUUAUAUAUCAUUAAGAUUUAUCUUUGCACGUAUCAAGAUAGUAGAUAACAAAAUUACGUUUAUAUAUUUAUAUUAUGUGUAUAUAUUUAGAUAUCUUCUAGUUGCAAUUUUUUCGAAUAAUAUCGGCGACCAAUCGAAAUAGAAAUUAGUGCGGAAAGAGGGGAAGGAACCAAAAUUUGAAAAUCGACAUCGGUAA
rnacentral:misc_RNA from 1 species